CACUUCACACAGCACACUUCACAUUUCACACUUUUCACACACUUCACAACAAGUGCUGAACAAAAUACUUACAAAACACUUCAAAAACACAUCUCAAGGACUUAACAAACAAUAACACUUAAAUAAACACUUAAAAAUCACACUUCACUAUUUACACCAAAACACCCAAACACAAACACUUAACCACUUCAAACCACUUCACCCUUCACACUACACACUUCAUACUUUAAAACAAAUACUUAAGCAUUUCAUACUGAAAUAAUUACUUUAACAUUCCACACAUGAACACAAACACACAAACACUUCACACUUGAACACUUAAUAGCUUAAAACAAACACCUUUAACACCUAAACACACAAACACACAAACACUUCACAAGUAAAUAAACACUUCACAAACAAUUACACUUAACUAACACAUAUAAAACACUUCACUAACAGUUAACAAACACUAACACUUAAAAAUUACACUUCACACUUAAAAAAAACACUUUAACACUUUAACGCUUAAACACACACUUUAACACUUAACACUUAAGCACACACUUUAGCACUUCACACUCAACACUUAACCACACACUUUAACACUUUAACGCUUAAACACACACUUUAACACUUAACACUUAAACACACACUUUAGCACUUCACACUCAACACAUAAACACACACUUAAACACUUAACACUUCAACACCUUAACACCUAAAUACCCAAACACCCAAAUACCCCAACACUAAUUGAUUUUAUAUGUACUAUUCCUAGAGAACUUACAUUUACAUUAUAAUAUAGGAAAGAGACUGAUUCAAGUAUAUAAUUUCUAUGAAUAAAAUUAUAUUUCAAAAACAUGUUUAAAUGCAAAACGAAAUUUAAAAAAUUAAAAAUUACAAAAAACCUUUAUCCUACCCCGCACUCUAAUAUAUAGAAGUAAGAAACUCUAUUACUUCAAUAAGAAUUAGAAAGCACCCGUCAAGUUUUGGCUUCAACUUCAUCUACUACCAAUAUAUUGUUGUGUAGUGCCAACUGUGCUUCUUCUAUCUGCAAACAAAAGAGUGAUUUAUGAGAAAAUAGAUAUCAACUGCAAAAUAAAGCUAGACCACUCAACUUGCAUCAUCAUAUGAAUUUAUAAAUACAUAUGCUUUUACCAACUCAAUAUGAUAAUUGACCUAGAACCUUGAUAAAUGGCAUGGACUCAAAAUCUCCUGCAAGCAUGAAAGUUGGUCGUAACAAACAGAAAAUUUUGAAAAUAAAUGUUACUGUCAUUUAUUAUAACUGUACCUAGAGUGUCAUCCAAUUCAAUGACACAUAUCUGCAGGUCCAGGCAUGCCUUCCACUGGUAUCAUUGUUACGCGUCCAAUCCACUUUUGAAUAGCAUCUAUAACGUGAGGAACAAUCUAUAGGUAGCAACAUUACACAAAGGCUAUUGCAAGCCACAAUAGCUGAUGGGUUCAAUAGUUAUUAAAUACCUGGACAGUUUUUUCAGAUAGUCUCCCCUUCUUUUCUUAUCUAUAACAUGCCAAAAGGAAAAAAAAUUAUUAAAAAGAAAUCAGCUAGCUGAUUAUUAUUUUUGAUUUCUCCUAGCAGCAGACACAAAAAUAAUCAAAAAAGAUGUGUAAGUUAAUCUCACCUAGUACAUUUUUUCAGUACUGAUAUUAUUGUCUCUUCUCAACUUGAUAUCCAAAAAAUUCAUAAUUUCUGAUGUCCAGGUUCACCUUUCAAACAACAAAAAAAAGUCAUUUUCUUCCUAACCUUUUAAGCAGUGAUACUUUCUAAACAAUAAUUAAUAGAGAUAAUAAAAGAAAUGAUAAUUAAAAAUUACUCGCCUUUUAGGAAAUAAGAAACUCCCACAUGUACAAAAUAAAAUCAAAAAAGCAUGUAAAAGAAAAUGAAUUCCAAACAGGAAAAAGUUAAUUAUGAUCAUAAAUUAGAAAAUUCACUUUUUGUAUAUGGAUUUCUCGAUAAUAUCAACAAAAAAAGACAAUUUUUUUUUCCUUUUACUUAAGAGUGGAGGAAGGAAGGAAUAGGAAGAGACCUAUUUAAUGAAAAUAACACGAAUACUAAAAAUCAACUACUAACUACUAACCACAAACUUACACACUUGUACACUUCAACAAACACUUGUACGUAACAAAAACUUAACAAAACGCUUCAAAAAUACUGCACAAAGACUUAACAAAUACUAACACUUAACAAACAAUAAAACUUAAAUAUCACAUUUCACACUUAACACCUAAACACACAAACACUUUAACAGUACACACUUCAAACCACUUCACACUACACAUUUCACACUUAAACAAACAUUUUAACACUUCACGCUUAAAUAAACACUAACUUUUAACACCUUAACACAAACACUUCACAUUUCACAAACACUACCAUUUACCAAACACUACAACUUAAACAUUACACUUCACACAUAAGUACUUCACACCCUUAGAGCUUAAUACAGUUAAAAAAAACGUAACAAAUACUUUACAAACACUUAACAAACUAACACCUAAGCAUCACACUUCACACCUUUACACUUUCACACUUAAACACAUAACAACUUAACACACAAAUACACUCACACACUUCACACUUAAGAAACACUAACACUUAAAUAUCAUACUUAACACUGCACGCUUUCACAAAUAAAUACUUAAACACCCAAACACUUAACACCUAACUUCACAUACUUCACACGCCUCACUAUUCACACUUAACAAACAAUAACACUUAAACAUCAUACUUUACACUGCACAUUUUCACACGUAAAUACCUAAACACUUAACACCUUAAUACCUAAACACCUAACUUAACACUUCACACACUUCACAAACUUCACACUCUUCACACUUCACACACUUCACACUCUUCACAACUCCUAACUUCACACUCUUCACACUUCACACAUCACACUUCACACUCUUCGCACUCCGCACUCUUCGCACUCCGCACACUCCGCACUCCGCACUCCGCUCCGCACUCCGCACGCCGCACGCCUUUCUCUCUCCAAAGCACUCUUCACAACACCUAACUUCAUACUUCACACACUUUACACUCUUCACACUCCGCACUCCGCACUCCGCACUCCGCACUCCGCACUCUUCACACUCUUCACAACACCUAACUUCAUACUUCACACACUUUACACUCUUCACACUUCACACUUCACACACAUCACACACACUUCACACUUCACACUUCUCACUCUUUACACUUCACAUUUCACACUUUACACUCGUCACACUUCACAAUUCACAAUUGGCACUUCACACACUCGAACACUUCAUACUCGUCACACUUCACACUUCACACUAUUCACACUUCCCGCACUUUGCACAUUGUCACACUUUGUCACACUUCACAUUUGUCACACACUUCACACUUCACACAUUUCACACACUUCACACUUUACACUUCACACAACACACUUCACACUUUUCACACACUUCACAAUAAGCGCAAAACAAAAUACUUACAAAACACUUCUCAAAGACCUAACAAACAAUAACACUUAAAUAAACACUUAAAAAUCACACUUCACGCUUUACACCAAACCACCCAAACACACAAACACUUAACCACUUCAAACCACUUCACCCUUCAUACUACACACUUCACACUUUAAAACAAAUACUUAAGCAUUUCAUACUUAAAUAAAUACACUAACAUUUAACACCUAAACACAAACACACAAACACUUCACACUUAAACACUUAAUAGCUCACCACAAACACCUAAACACACAAACAAUUACACUUAACAAACAAUUACAAAACACUUCACCAACAGUUAACAAACACUAACACUUAAAAAUUACACAUCACACUUAAAAAAAACACUUUAACACUUUAACACUUAAACACACACUUUAACACUUAACACCUAAGCACACACUUUAGCACUUCACACUCAACACAUAAACACACACUUUAACACUUAACGCUUCAAUACCUAAACACCUAAAUACCUAAACACCCAAACACCUCAACACUAAUUGAUUUUAGAUGUACUAUUCCUAGAGAACUUAUAUUUAUAUUAUAAUAUAGGAAAGAGACUUAUUCAAGUAUAUAAUUUCUAUGAAUAAAAUUAUAUUUCAAAAACAUGUUUAAAUGCAAAACGAAAUUUAAAAAUUUAAAAAUUACAAAAAAUCAUUAUCCUGCCACGCACUCUAAUAUAUAGAAAUAAGAAGCUCUUUUACUUCAAUAAAAAUUAGAAAGCACCCGUCAAGUUUUGGCUUCCUCUUCAUCUACUACCAAUAUAUUGUUGUGUAGUGCCAACUGUGCUUCUUCUAUCUGCAAACAAAAGAGUGAUUUAUGAGAAAACAGAGAUCAACUGCAAAAUAAAGCUAGAGCACUCAAUUUGCAUCAUCAUAUGAAUUUAUAAAUCCAUAUGCUCUUACCAACUCAAUAUGAUAAUUAACCUAGAACCUUGAUAAAUGGCAUGGAUUCAAAAUCUCCUGCAAGCAUAAAAGCUGAUCGUAACAAACAGAAAAUUUUGAAAAUAAAUGUUACUGUCAUUUAUUGUAACUGUACCUAGAGUGUCAUCCAAUUCAAUGACACAUAUCUGUAGGUCCAGACAUGCCUUCCACUGGUAUCAUUGUUACGCGUCCAAUCCACUUUUGAAUAGCAUCUAUAACAUGAGGAACAAUCUAUAGGUAGCAACAUUACACAAAGGCUAUUGCAAGCCACAAUAGCUUAUGGGUACAACAGUUAUUAAAUAUCUGGAGAGUUUUUGUCAGAUAGUCUCCCCUUCUUUUCUUAUCUAUAACAUGCCAAACGGGAAAAAAAUUAUUAAAAAGAAAUCAGCUAGCUGAUUAUUCUUUUUGGUUUCUCCUAGUAGGAGACACAAAAAUAAUCAAAAGAGAUGUGCAAGUUAAUCUCACCUGGUAAAUUUUUCCAGUACUGAUAUUAUUGUCUCUUCUCAACUUGAUAUCCAGAAAAUUCAUAAUUUCUGAUGUCCAGGUUCACCUUUCAAACAACAGGAAAAAGUUAAUUAUGAUCAUAAAUUGGAAAAUUCACCUUUUGUAUAUAGAUUUCUCCGUAAUAUCAACAAAAAAAAAAAUUUUUUUUACUUUUACUUAAAAGAGGAGGAAGAAAGGAAGAGGAAGAGACCUAUUUGAUUAAAAUAACACGAAUACUAAAAAUCAACUACUAACUACUAACCACAAACUCUUAACCCUAACCAUAACCUUAACCAUAUACUAACCCUAACACUUCACAAACACUUAACAAACACUUCAAAAACACUAAACAAACAAUAAACACUUGAACAUUAUACGUAAACUUCAUACUUAAGUGUUUGUACAAAUACUUAAAAAACAAUUAACAAAUACUUUAACAAACACUUCACAAACACUUAACAAACACUAACAUUUAAGCAUCACACUUCACACUUAAACACUAAACACCUUAACACCUUAACACACAAACAUACUCACACGCUUCAAACUUAACAAACAUUAACACUUAAACAUUACACUUUAUACUUUCACACUUAAACAAUUAAACAUUUAACACUUAAACACAAAAAAAAAAAGUUACACACUUGUACACUUCAACAAACACUUAUACCUAACAAAAACUUAACAAAACACUUCAAAAAUACUGCACAAGGACUUAACAAAUACUAACACUUAACAAACAGUAACACUUAAAUAUCACACUUCACCCUUAACACCUAAACACACAAACACUUUAACAGUACACACUUCAAACCACUUCACACUUAAAUAAACAUUUUAACACUUCACACUUAAAUAAACACUUUAACUUUUAACACCUUAACACAAACACUUCACACUUCACAAACAGUACCAUAUACCAAACACUACAACUUAAACAUCACACUUCACACAUAAGUGCUUAACACCUUAAGAGCUUAAUACACUUAAAAAAAACGUAACAAAUACUUCACAAACACUUAACAAACAAACACCUAAGCAUCAAACUUCACACUUCACACCUUCACACUUAAACACUUAACACCCUAACACACAAAUACACUCACACACUUCACACUUAAAAAACACUAACACUUAAACAUCACACUUCACACUACACGCUUUCACACAUAAACACUUAAACACCUAAACAAUUAACACCUUAACACCUAACUUCACAUACUUCACACGCAUCACACACUUCACAUUUCACACUUAAGAAACAAUAACACUUAAACAUCACACUUCACACUGCACAUUUUCACACGUAAACACCUAAACACUUAACACCUUAACACCUAAACACCAAACUUAACACUUCACACACUUCAUAAACUUCACACUCUUCACACUCUUCACACUUCACACACUUCACACUCUUCACAACACCUAACUUCACACUUCACACACUUCACACUUCAUACUACACUUCACACACAAUUCACACACUCUUCGCACUUCACACACUCUUCGCACUUCACACUCGUCACACUUCACACUUCACACUUCACACUUCACACUCGUCACACUUCACACUCGUCACACUUCACAUUUCACACUCGUCACACUUCACACUUCACACUUCACACUCGUCACACUUCACACUCUUCACACAUCACACUUCAUACUUCACACAACACACACUUCACACUUCACACUCUUCAUACUCUUCACAACACCUAACUUCAUACUUCACACACUUCACACUCUUCACACACUUCACACAUCACACACUUCACACAACACUUCACACACAAUUCACACACACUUCACAUUUCUUACUUCUCACUCUUUGUACUUCACAUUUCACACUUCACACUCGUCACACUUCACACUCGUCACACUUCGCACUUCGCACUUCGCACUUCGCACACUUGAACACUUGAACACUUCACACUCUUCACACUUCACACUUCGCACUUCACACUUCGCACUUCACACACUUCACACUCUUUACACUUCCCCACUUCCCGCACUUCGCACUUUGUCACACUUUGUCACACUUCACAUUUGUCACACACUUCACACUUCACACACUUCACACUUCACAUAGCACACUUCAUACUUCACACUUUUCACACACUUCACAACAAGCGCUGAACAAAAUACUUGCAAAACACUUCAAAAACACUUCUCAAUGACUUAACAAACAAUAACACUUAAAAAUCACACUUCACUAUUUACACCAAAACACCCAAACACACAAACAUUUAACCACUUCAAACCACUUCACCCUUCAUACUACACACUUCACACUUUAAAACAAAUACUUAAGCAUUUCAUACAUAAAUAAAUACUUUAACAUUUAACGCCUGAACACAAACACACAAACACUUCACACUUAAACAUUUAAUAGCUUAACACAAACACCUUAAUACAUAAAUACACAAACACACAAACACUUCACAAGUAAAUAAACACUUCACAAACAAUUACACUUAACUAACAAUUACAAAACACUUCACCAACAGUUAACAAACACUAACACUUAAAAAUUACACUUCAUACUUGAAAAAAACACUUUAACACUUUAAUGCUUAAACACACACUUUAACACUUAACACUUAAGCACACACUUUAGCACUUCACACUCAACACAUAAACACACACUUUAACACUAAACACUUCAACACCUUAACACCUAAAUACCUAAACACCCAAACACCUCAACACUAAUUGAUUUUAGAUAUACUAUUCCUAGAGAACUUACAUUUAUAUUAUAAUAUAGGAAAGAGACUUAUUCAAGUAUAUAAUUUUUAUAAAUAAAAUUAUAUUUCAAAAACAUGUUUAAAUGCAAAACGAAAUUUAAAAAUUUUAAAAUUUAAAAAUUACAAAAAAUCAAUAUUAUGCCCCGCACUCUAAUAUAUAGAAGUAAGAAGCUCUUUUACAUCAAUAAGAAUUAGAAUGCACUCGUCAAGUUUUGGCUUCUUGUUCAUCUACUACUAAUAUAUUGUUGUGUAGUGCCAACAGUGCUUCUUCUAUCUGCAAACAAAAGAGUGAUUUAUGAGAAAACAGAGAUCAACUGCAAAAUAAAGCUAGAGCACUCAACUUGCAUCAUCAUAUGAAUUUAUAAAUCUAUAUGCUCUUACCAACUCAAUAUGAUAAUUAACCUAGAACCUUGAUAAAUGGCAUGGACUCAAAAUCUCCUGCAAGCAUAAAAGCUGAUCGUAACAAACAGAAAAUUUUGAAAAUAAAUGUUACUGUCAUUUAUUGUAACUGUACCUAGAGUGUCAUCCAAUUCAAUGACACAUAUCUGUAGGUCCAGACAUGCCUUCCACUGGUAUCAUUGUUACGUGUCCAAUCCACUUUUGAAUAGCAUCUAUAACAUGAGGAACAAUCUAUAGGUAGCAACAUUACACAAAGGCUAUUGCAAGCCAAAAUAGCUUAUGGGUUCAAUAGUUAUUAAAUACCUGGACAGUUUUUGUCAGAUAGUCUCCCCUUCUUUUCUUAUCUAUAACAUGCCAAAAGGGAAAAAAUUUAUUAAAAAGAAAUCAGCUAGCUGAUUAUUCUUUUUGGUUUCUCCUAGUAGCAGACACAAAAAUAAUCAAAAGAGAUGUGCAAGUUAAUCUCACCUGGUAAAUUUUUCCAGUAUUGAUAUUAUUGUCUCUUCUCAACUUGAUAUCCAGAAAAUUCAUAAUUUCUGAUGUCCAGGUUCACCUUUCAAACAACAAAAAAAAAGUUAUUUUCUUCCCAACCUUUUAACCUGUGAUAUUUUCUAAACAAUAAUCAAUAGAGAUAAUAAAAGAAAUGAUAAUUGAAAAUUACUCGCUUUUUAGGAAAUAAGAAACUCUCACAUCUACAAAAUAAAAUCAAAAAAGCAUGUAAAAGAAAAUGAAUUCCAAACAGGAAAAAGUUAAUUAUGAUCAUAAAUUGGAAAAUUCACCUUUUGUAUAUGGAUUUCUCCAUAAUAUCAACAAAAAAAAUAAUUUUUUUUCCUUUUACUUAAAAGAGAAGGAAGUAAGGAAGAGGAAGAGACCUAUCUAAUGAAAAUAACACGAAUACUAAAAAUCAACUACUAACCACAAACUCUUAACCCUAACCCUAACCCUAACCUUGACCCUAUACUAACCCUAACACUUCACAAACACUUAAGCAAACACUUCAAAAACACUUAACAAACAAUAAACACUUGAACAUCAUACGUAAACUUCACACUUAAGUGUUUGUACAAAUACUUGAAAAAUAGUUAACAAAUACUUUAACAAACACUUCACAAACACUUAACAAACACUAACAUUUAAGCAUCACACUUCACACUUAAGCACUAAACACCUUAACACACAAACAUACUCACACGCUUCAAACUUAACAAACAUUAACACUUAAACACUACACUUCAUACUUUUACACUUAAACAAUUAAACAUUGAACACUUAAACACACAAAAAAACUUACACACUUGUCCACUUCAACAAACACUUAUACGUAGCAAAAACUUAACAAAACACUUCAAAAAUACUGCAUAAGGACUUAAAAAUACUAACACUUAACAAACAGUAACACUUAAAUAUCACACUUCAUACUUAACACCUAAACACACAAACACUUUAACAGUUCACACUUCAAACCACUUCACACUACACACUUCACACUUAAACAAACAUUUUAACACAUCACGCUUAAAUAAACACUUUAACUUUUAACACCUUAACACAAACACUUCACACUUCACAAAAACUACCAUUUACCAAACACUACAACUUAAACAUCACACUUCACACAUAAGUACUUAACACCUUAACAGCUAAAUACAGUUAAAAAAAAUGUAACAAAUACUUCACAAACACUUAACAAACUAACAGCUAAGCAUCACACUUCACACCUUCACACUUUCACACUUAAACACUUAACACCCUAACACACAAAUACACUCACACACUUCACACUUAAGAAACACUAACACUUAAACAUCACACUUCACACUGCACGCUUUCACUCAUAAACACUUAAACACCUAAACAUUUAACACCUUAACACCUAACUUCACAUACUUCACACGCUUCACACACUUCAAACUUCACACUUAACAAACAAUAACACUUAAACAUCACACUUCACACUGCACAUUUUCACACGUAAAUACCUAAACACUUAACACCUUAACACUUAAAUACCUUACUUAACACUUCACACACUUCACAAACUUCACACUCUUCACACUUCACACACUUCACACUCUUCACAACACCUAACUUCACACUUCACACACUUCACACUUCACACACUUCACAAUUCAAACACACUUCACACUCUUCACACUUCACUCUGCGCACUUCACUCUUCGCGCACUUCACACUCUUCACGCACUUCACUUCACACUUCACACGCACUUUACUCUUCGCGCACUUCACACGCACUUCACUCCACACUUCACGCGCUUCACACUUCACACUUCACGCGCUUCACGCGCUCCACGCGCUCCACGAGCUCCACGCGCCACGCUCCACGCUCCAUGCGCCACGCUCCACGCUCCACGCUCCACACUUCACACACACUUCAAACUUCACACUUCACACUUCACACACACUUCACACUUCACACUUCACACACACUUCACACUUCACACCUCACACACAAUUCACACUUCAUACUUCACACUUCACACUUCACACUUCACACACAAUUCACACUUCACACACUUCACACUUCACACUUCACACUUCUCACUCUUUGCACUUCACAUUUCACACUUCACACUCGUCACACUUCACAAUUCGCACUUCGCACUUCGCACUUCGCACACUUGAACACUUUACACUCGUCACACUUCACAGUUCACACUCUUCACACUUCCCCACUUCCCGCACUUCGCACUUUGUCACACUUCACAUUUGUCACACACUUCACACUUCACACAUUUCACACACUUCACACUUUACACUUCACACAGCACACUUCACACAUUUCACACACUUCACACUUUACACUUCACACAGCACACACUUCACACUUCACACUUUUCACACACUUCACAACAAGCGCUGAACAAAAUACUUACAAAACACUUCAAAAACACUUCUCAAGGACUUAACAAACAAUAACACUUAAAUAAACACUUAAAAAUCACACUUCACUCUUUACACCAAAACACCCAAAGACACAAACACUUAACCACUUCACCCUUCAUACUACACACUUCACACUUUAAAAAAAAUACUUAAGCAUUUCAUACUUAAAUAAAUACUUUAACAUUUAACACCUGAACACAAACACACAAACACUUCACACUUAAACACUUAAUACCUUAACACAAACACUUUAACACCUAAAUACACAAACACACAAACACUUCCCAAGUAAAUAAACACUUCACAAACAAUUACACUUAACUAACAAUUAGAAAACACUUCACCAACAGUUAACAAACACUAACACUUAAAAAUUACACUUCACACUUGAAAAAAACACUUUAACACUUUAAUGCUUAAACACACACUUCACACUUCACACACACUUCACACUCUUCACACUUCCCCACUUCCCGCACUUCGCACUUUGUCACACUUUGUCACACUUCACAUUUGUCACACACUUCACACUUCACACAUUUCACACACCUCACACUUCACACAGCACACUUCACACUCCACACUCCACACUUUUCACACACUUCACAACAAGCGCUGAACAAAAUAUUUACAAAACACUUCAAAAACACUUCCAAGGACUUAACAAACAAUGACACUUAAAUAAACACUUAAAAAUCACACUUCACUCUUUACACCAAAACACCCAAACACACAAACACUUAAACACUUCAAAUCACUUCACCCUUCAUACUACACACUUCACACUUUAAAACAAAUACUUAAGUAUUUCAUACUUAAAUAAAUACUUUAACAUUUAACACCUCAAACAAACACACAAACACUUCACACUUAAACACUUAAUAGCUUAACACAAACACCUAACACAUAAAAACACAAACACACAAACACUUCACAAGUAAAUAAACACUUCACAAACAAUUACACUUAACUAACAAUUACAAAACACUUCACCAAUAGUUAACAAACACUAACACUUAAAAAUUACAGUUCACACUUGAAAAAAACAUUUUAACACUUUAAUGCUUAAACACACACUUUAACACUUAACACUUAAGCACACACUUUAGCACUUCACACUCAACACAUAAACACACACUUUAACACUAAACACUUCAACACCAUAACACCUAAAUACCUAAACACCCAAACACCUCAACACUAAUUGAUUUUAGAUGUACUAUUCCUAAAGAACUUACAUUUAUAUUAUAAUAUAGGAAAGAGACUUAUUCAAGUAUAUAAUUUCUAUGAAUAAAAUUAUAUUUCAAAAACAUGUUUAAAUGCAAAAUGAAAUUUAAAAAUUUUAAAAUUAUAAAAAAUCAUUAUCCU
rnacentral:lncRNA from 1 species